rnacentral:lncRNA from 1 species
CUUUUUUGGCAGUCUCACGGCCAGAGAGAUCAAUUACAUCAUCAAUCGAGUUGGCCUGCAUGGAAAGCUUGCAACAAUAUCAUCUUGUAUCAGACUUGUUACAUCAGGACUGGUACACUAUUGCAUCAGUGCUAAGUUGUGUGCUGCUCCAAGACUAGAAUUGGUAGCAAGCGCACAGUUUCGAGCUCCCAGGCUGAGCGUUUGAGGCCCGUCAGUCGUCUCUGAGAGGAUGGGUGAGUUCGAUCAUUGUUGUUAUUUCCUGUGCUCUGUGGGGUGGCCCCAACGUUUGAAAACGCAUCCUUCCCGGCUCUCCUGAAGAAUUUAGCGAUCCCCGUCUGCUUUUUAUUUGCAUUCAUCUUG